GGAUAACCUACCCUUAGGACUGGGAUAACCCUGGGAAACUGGGGAUAAUACCGGAUAGGCAAUUUUUCCUGGAAUGGUUUUUUGUUUAAAUGUUUUUUCGCCUAAGGAUGGGUCUACGGCCGAUUAGGUAGUUGGUUAGGUAACGGCUUACCAAGCCAUUGAUCGGUACGGGUUGUGAGAGCAAGAGCCCGGAGAUGGAACCUGAGACAAGGUUCCAGGCCCUACGGGGUGCAGCAGGCGCGAAACCUCCGCAAUGUGAGAAAUCGCGACGGGGGGAUCCCAAGUGCCAUUCUUAACGGGAUGGCUUUUCAUUAGUGUAAAGAGCUUUUGGAAUAAGGGCUGGGCAAGACCGGUGCCAGCCGCCGCGGUAACACCGGCAGCUCUAGUGGUAGCAGUUUUUAUUGGGCCUAAAGCGUCCGUAGCCGGUUUAAUAAGUCUCUGGUGAAAUCCUGUAGCUUAACUGUGGGAAUUGCUGGAGAUACUAUUAGACUUGAGACCGGGAGAGGUUAGAGGUACUCCCAGGGUAGAGGUGAAAUUCUGUAAUCCUGGGAGGACCGCCUGUUGCGAAGGCGUCUAACUGGAACGGUUCUGACGGUGAGGGACGAAAGUUAGGGGCGCGAACCGGAUUAGAUACCCGGGUAGUCCUAACUGUAAACGAUGCGGACUUGGUGUUGGGGUGGCUUUGAGCUGC
rnacentral:rRNA from 1 species